GCCUUCCUUCUAGUUCUCCUGAGCUGUGUCUCCGAAGGGUGAAUGCCUUCGCAGUGCGGUUUUGCAGCAGGAGCUUGUAUCGUUAUUCUGUCUGUUGCAGACCAGGAUCUGCUUGCGCCCUCGGAGCGAGAAGCAGUGAAGUUGGUGACCGAGAGAGUAGACCAAGAAAUGGCCAAACGUCGGAAAAAUGAGCAAGAGUCUGGGCAUCCUGGUUAAGCUGCUGCAUGAAGCAGAGGGCCAUAUCGUGACUGUAGAGCUGAAGAGCGGGGAGGCUUAUCGCGGCUCCUUGAUUGAGUGCGAGGAUAAUUGGAACUCGCAGCUUGAGUCCGUUACGUACACUGCAAUGGAUGGGAAAGUUUCUCAACUAGAGCAUGUUUCCAUUCGAGGAAGUAAAGUGAGAUUUAUGAUCAUUCCUGACAUACUCAAGAAUGCCCCUAUGUUCAAGCGCCUUGAUACCAAGAUUAAGGGUAAAGGGUCCUCAGGUGUCGGGAUUGGCCUUGGUCGAGCGUCUACCAUGCAGGCCAAAGUCAGAAUGCCUUACACUUUGCGUUGAGGUCUUGUCAGUACUACUAUGUGUUCCGCUGACUGGUUGGUAUGUAAUGGAAAUCAAAUGAAUCGUUUCUUCCUGGAUAAGGAAACGAUGAGAUAGAAGGCCCGUUCAGCAGCUAGAGGCUCUGUACCACUUCCCAUGCUUAGCAAAAUUAUAGAAUUCGAGGAUUUGCUUGGUAGUAUACAAGAGCUUCUCUGUUGCAUGAAUAUAUUGUUGCUUAUAAGACAGAAUAUAG